rnacentral:misc_RNA from 1 species
AUUUAGUUGUUGACUCGCGUGCAACGGGCAAGUAGGAAACACAAUACUUGCUCAUUUAAAGCCAUCCACCUACUUUGAAAAUAGAAGUCGAAAUGUUCUGCGCCGUAAAGCACCUGCGAGCGCCACUCGCGACUUUGAAACCGGUGCUUGCCGACUCGGUCGCAACCCAGAAUGUGAUCCGUCGGAUGGUUGGUGUAGCAACAGCUCGUAAGGUAAACGCGAGCGCGAUUAACAGCAUUGCGGAGAAGACGAAAGGCGAGGGUCUGGCAGGGACAACUGCAGUAGUGGCGCGCGCGCACCUUUACCUGCUGUCACGGAAUCCCACGGACGCUAUUGCAGAAAUCGACGCUGUCCUGCCGAAGGUGCAAGAUGAGGCGCUGAAGCGCUUUGCGAUCGGCAUCCGCCUACGCUCGCACAACGAACUGCUGGACAUGAAGGAGGCGGCACUAGGGGUUUCAGGCGGCGCUACAGAGGCGGAGGUGUCGGACCUACGCUCCAAGUUGCAGAGAGAUUACAAGGAGCUGGUUGCAAGCUCUCCCGGGUGCUGGCUCGUGGAGCUGGCUGCCGCGGAGUACAGCCUUUACACCGGCGCGAGCGAGGAGGCUUACAACCACUUUACUUCAAUCGAAAAGAAAAUCCAGGAGUACAUCAAAGCCCCCAUCCACGUGUCGGAGCUGGUAGCUACCACCGACAACACGAACGAGUUCUCCCUGGUUGGUUUUCAGGUGCGACGUGCUCGCCCUGGGGUGAAGCCGGAGGGCGUCAGCGCCGCGGUGGCUGAGGGGAUGGCGAAUGUGAUGGCCGAUCCUGCUGCCGCGAAAGCUCUUCAACAGGCAAAAAAAGCCUUUGGCGGGCAGGUGACGGAUGAGGAGGCGCUAGAACUAGCGGUCACAAUGCAGGAAGCAAACGUGGGCCACCACUUCCACGAUUUUUUCCCCACAACCCCAGACCACUACGAUAAAUGGACGUCCGAGGCUGCACAAUCUGCGCAGCAGCUGAUCCAGGAAGCUUUGACACCUCACAAUGCGGGUCUCAAAGCGGAGGCCAUAGACCGGAUUCGUGCUUCCGUGCCCAGCAAGGCUUUUUACGACUCGGAGGAGAAGCUGCAUGCGCUGCUGAAGUCGGCACCGAAGGAUAAGAGUAUCAUUGCUUCCAUCCGCGAGACGUUUGGGCCCGGCCCAAGUACGCCGAUCAGCUCGUCGGAUCAGGCGGUUGCCGACGCCGUGGAAUCCGUGCACCUGGCGGUUGUCUCGUCGGACACGGCUGGAGCGACGGACUAUGCAAAGCGCGGGAAGGAGAUUGCUAAGGCUCUAGCGAAGCAGUUGCUCUACCGCACACAGGUUCAGAAGAGUGUUGCACUGGCAGAGAUGAACCGCCUGCAGGAGGCCGUGGAAGCUGUCACUCCAGUGAUCAAUGCGAACGAGUACAUUUACAUGUGGCGCGCACUCUUAGCUCGCAGCCGUGCCUACAAGGGUCUCGGGCUCAUCACCAACGCCGACAAGGACCUGAAGGAGCUAAACCGCCUCAAGCAGAGCCUCACGGAGCGCACUCCAUAUGAGAAGAAGUAGACGAAGGCAUGCGAGUGUGAGUGCCGAGCACGUGCUACUGCACGCACGAUUUAGUACCGUUAGCGUGUUUUCGUUUCCCUAAAAAAGCCAAACGAACAUAUCUCUUGUCUUCACUUUGGUGUGCUCGACGUCCCGUUCGUGUGUUUUUUUGUCUCUUAUUUUCGCGUAGGAAUACCACGUUCCUGAAGAGAAGGAAGAAGGGCGGGGGUCACCUAAGUGUGGUGUCUAGGGUCCGUUACACCCCGCGUUGUGUGUGAGGAAGGCAAGCACCCCCUGUCCCCUGCCAAUGCCGAACAACCUCUGGUGGUGGCAGGGCCAAGCAGCUGUGACGUAGGGGUGGACAGGGCGAUGUGUCGCUGCUGAUGUCGGCGGUCAGGUCGUGGAUGGCGUUGCGCCGGAGCGGCCUGCGGCAGUGAACGCACUUGCGCCAUCCAUCUGGUGGGCAUGGUGUCGCCGCAGCUCGAGCGCAUCCCCGCCCCGCGCCUCACACUGCCUGCUGGCGGGGGGAGCCUGAGCUACCCCGAGGGACGCACGAGGUGGGGACCGGCGCAAUGUGAGCCGCUGUGAGGCGGCCUCCGCUUCGCAGGCCGGUAGUGUUUUGAGGCAGAGGCCAUGCUCGGAUGACGGAGUCGGCGCAUUGCUGUAGAGCGUGUGCACGACUGCUUUGCGCCACGCGAUGGGGGCCUGCGACAUGCCGGGUGGAGUGUUGUCGAGCUCACGUUGCGUGGCGGAGAACGGACGCACUGAAAAAAAGGCAUACCGCGUGUCAGGGAAGCGGUGCUGAUAUACGUUUUCUUACCAGUAGCAUAUCUUCUUUCUUCUAGAGCGAGGAAAUCGCAUCGUCACCUUCACAGAGUCUUUUUGGCUCGGCUGACAUCAUGAAUGCACUUUUCCUUUUCUUAACGUGCGUUGCCAACCCUCAGUGAGGAGCUGGUGUCGGGACCUCUGCCUCCACGAAG